GCCCGGUUAGCCCAGUCGGUAGCGCAUCAGACUUUAAUCUGAGGGUCAAGGGUUCACGUCCCUUAUCGGGCG
rnacentral:tRNA from 1 species